rnacentral:lncRNA from 1 species
AAAAGCCUAGAAGUAGUGCCUAUAGCGAGAGUAACCAUAAUUACCUUUGAUAGAGGAUGGAAAAAAAGCUCAGAAAAUACUACUGACGGCUGGCAAUAGUCUGUUUCUGUCUGUGACGAUGCGGCAGCGACCUGUCGCUGAUCCCUCCAAGCCCUCAAACACGGUAGUGACACCAAAGGAUCCCGACCACAGCCCGGCGAGUCUGGGGCAGUCAGGCACCUGUCGGACACCUCCGCCACCUCCGCCAAGAACUCCAGGGGUCUGCGCUACUUCGUGUCCACGGACCUCCCUCAUCUUCCGCCGAGACAAAGGUUAAUACUGCCUUACGUAUUAAAUAUGCUGAGGCUCCAUUUCAUCUCCUCUUCCUCCCUGAGAUCUUCACAAUCCCACAAGAGCAAACAACUUUUGGUGUCAAUUCUACAAGAGCCUUGUUACUCAGAAGAAUAAUUGCUAUCAGAACUUAAAAGACAUUUUAGAGGAAAAUGACAAAAGAACUUCAAUGGAUUUGGCUGUCACGAGUGUACUGUUCAGUGAGAUUUCACCAACUGAGUCCACUGCGGCAUGAAGCCCCUAUGUCUAAAACUGAGAACACAGUCAACGUCACAGAUGCCUUGCUGCACAGUUCCAUCACAAGAGGGACCUCUGUAGAAGACAGAGCUAUGUACAUCACUUUCACCUCCUCUGUACUAAAUGUAACCAAACAUCCCAAACUCUUGAAAUCUUUUAAAUUCCAUGUUCUUGUGGAUUUAUCUGUAUUUUUCAUUUUGUCUAUGAUAUAGUUCCAUUGCAUUAAUAUCAAUUGAUCUGGAAAUUCUUUUCUUGAUGUGCAUGAGGGUGGUUGUCUUACUUUCUCAUUGCUGGGAGAUAAUAUCUAACACAUAAUAUCUAAUCAAAGGAAGAAAGGUUUCUUUUAGCUCACAGUUUGUAGAGGUUUCAUUCGGUCCAUAGUGGGCUGGUUCCAAUGCUGGGCAGGGUGGCAGAGGAGAAAUAACAGUUCAUGGCAUGGCAGGGAGGAGGCAGCAUGAGUCUUCCUUUCCCCUUUAUUCUAUCCAGGGUAUAAGCCUAUUGAUUGGUGCCAACAUCCAGUGUGGACCUUCCCGUUAUCCACUCAAAACUAUGCUAACUCAAUCAGUGAACUAAUUUAGUUAUCACACACCUUUAAUCCAUGUUCACACAGCCUAGAUCCAACCACUUCUGAAAAGCC